CACGUAGGGCGCAAGCGUUGUCCGGAAUUAUUGGGCGUAAAGAGCUCGUAGGCGGUCUGUUGCGUCCGCUGUGAAAACUCGGGGCUUAACCCCGAGCCUGCAGUGGAUACGGGCAGACUAGAGGUAGGUAGGGGAGAAUGGAAUUCCCGGUGUAGCGGUGAAAUGCGCAGAUAUCGGGAGGAACACCAGUGGCGAAGGCGGUACUCUGGGCCGGAACUGACGCUGAGGGGCGAAAGCGUGGGGAGCGAACAGG
rnacentral:rRNA from 1 species